rnacentral:rRNA from 1 species
UACGGAGGAUCCGAGCGUUAUCCGGAUUUAUUGGGUUUAAAGGGUGCGCAGGCGGGAGAUUAAGUCGGCGGUGAAAUUUUGCAGCUCAACUGUAAAAGUGCCUUCGAAACUGGUUUCCUUGAGUGUAGAUGAAGUAGGCGGAAUUUGUGGUGUAGCGGUGAAAUGCAUAGGUAUCACGAGGAACUCCGAUUGCGAAGGCAGCUUACUAAGCUACUACUGACGCUCAGGCACGAAGGCGUGGGGAUCAAACAGGAUUAGAUACCCGGGUAGUCCCUGA